CAAAACUUUCAACAACGGAUCUCUUGGCUCUGGCAUCGAUGAAGAACGCAGCGAAAUGCGAUACGUAAUGCGAAUUGCAGAAUUCAGCGAGUCAUCGAAUCUUUGAACGCACAUUGCGCCCGCCAGCAUUCUGGCGGGCAUGCCUGUCCGAGCGUCAUUUCCCCCCU
rnacentral:rRNA from 11 species